rnacentral:sRNA from 1 species
AAUCUCCAUGCUGCCUCAAUGUAUGUCAUUUUGGUGGUGGUGGUGAAAUGUUUUGGUAAAAAUAGCUCUCUUAAAUAUUAUCUUAGCCUUUGUAUCUAAAUAAAUUAGCUGAUAAAAUACAAGUGACUACCUGGGGUAUAUCUGGAUAAAACAGUGAUUUUUUUUUUAAUUUCUUUUUUUAUAUGCUUCAGCCCAUGUUAUUUGAGGGAACUUUUAAGUCUUGUUUAAACAACCAGAAGUUCUCUCUCUAAAGGGCAUUGUGUGGUUCUGUACAUCACAGCCCAUCACUUAACACACACUGAGCACAGAUGUCAUCUCUUUCUUUCAAAGAAAAAUAUGACAAAGGGCGAUGGGAUUUCACAAGGCCUAAGAAUUCCCAAGUAGCAGGAACCCCCAGAAGCUGGAUCUGUUGCCAGCAUGUUUGGCUUUCAGGAAAUGGAAAACAUCCAUUUCCACAGCCCCUCAAUGCCCUCAGCAGUUUCUGCAUUUACUUGCCUCCCCUUUCUGCACAGCUCCUGUUGAGUUACACAUUCAUUACAUUUAUGACAACUCAAAUUUAACUUAAUUUCCUUGCAAUGCUCCCUCUCUCUUAGACCUGAACUCCUGGAACACCUCCAGGAAAUGAGAGAAGAAAAGAAAAGGAUUCGAAAGAAACUUCGGGAUUUUGAAGACAACUUUUUCAGACAGAACGGAAGAAAUGUCCAGAAGGAAGACCGCACUCCUAUGGCUGAAGAAUACAGUGAAUAUAAGCACAUAAAGGCGAAACUGAGGCUCCUGGAGGUGCUCAUCAGCAAGAGAGACACUGAUUCCAAGUCCAUGUGAGGGGCAUGGCCAAGCACAGGGGGCUGGCAGCUGUGGUGAGAGUUUACUGUCUCCAGAGAAAGUGCAGCUCUGGAAGGCAGCCUUGGGGCUGGCCCUGCAAAGCAUGCAGCCCUUCUGCCUCUAGACCAUUUGGCAUCGGCUCCUGUUUCCAUUGCCUGCCUUAGAAACUGGCUGGAAGAAGACAAUGUGACCUGACUUAGGCAUUUUGUAAUUGGAAAGUCAAGAUUGCAGUAUGUGCACAUGCGCGCGCGCGCACACACACACACACACACACACACACACACACACACACACACACACACACACACACACACACACACACACACACACACAGUAGUGGAGCUUUCCUAACACUAGCAGAGAUGAAUCACUACAUUAGACAACACUCAUCUACAGAGAAUAUACACUGUUCUUCCCUGGAUAACUGAGAAACAUGAGACCAUUCUCUGUCUAACUGUGACAAAAACAAGCUCAGGACUUUAUUCUAUAGAGCAAACUUGCUGUGGAGGGCCAUGCUCUCCUUGGACCCAGUUAAGUGCAAACGUGCAUUGGAGCCCUAUUUGCUGCCGCUGCCAUUCUAGUGACCUUUCCACAGAGCUGCGCCUUCCUCACAUGUGUGAAAGGUUUUCCCCUUCAGCCCUCAGGUAGAUGGAAGCUGCAUCUGCCCACGAUGGCAGUGCAGUCAUCAUCUUCAGGGUGUUUCUUCAGGACUUCCUCAGCUGACAAGGAAUUUUGGUCCCUGCCUAGGACCGGGUCAUCUGCAGAAGACAGAGAGAUGGUAAGCAGCUGUAUGAAUGCUGAUUUUAAAACCAGGUGAUGGGAGAAGAGCCUGGAGAUUCUUUCCUGAACACUGACUGCACUUACCAGUCUCAGAUUUUAUCGUCAAACACCAAGCCAGGCCAGCAUGCAACCUGUUUGGGGCUGUUUUGUUGUGGCACUAGCCAAACAUAAAGGGGCUUAAGUCAGCCUGCAUACAGAGGAUCGGGGAGAGAAGGGGCCUGUGUUCUCUGCCUCCUGAGUACUUACCAGAGUUUAAUUUUUUUAAAAAAAAAAAUCUGCACUAAAAUCCCCAAACUGACAGGUAAAUGUAGCCCUCAGAGCUCAGCCCAAGGCAGAAUCUAAAUCACACUAUUUUCGAGAUCACGUAUAAAAAGAAAGUCAUGCUGUGUGGCCAAUUAUAAUUUUUUUCAAAGACUUUGUCACAAAACUGUCUAUAUUAGACAUUUUGGAGGGACCAGGAAAUGUAAGACACCAAAUCAUCCAUCUCUUCAGUGUGCUUGAUGUCGCCUCGUGAUUUGCUGUUACUUUUUUAACUCCUGCGCCAAGGACAGUGGGUUCUGGGUCCACCUUUGUGCUUUGCGAGGCCGAGCCCAGGCGUCUGCUCGCCUGCCACGGCUGACCAGAGAAGGUGCUUCAGGAGCUCUGCCUUUGACGACGUGUUACAGUAUGAACACACAGCAGAGGCACCCUCCUGUAUGUUUUGAAAGUUGCCUUCUGAAAGGGCACAGUUUUAAG